CAGUAGCCACGGUAAUACGUAGGGUGCGAGCGUUGUCCGGAAUUACUGGGCGUAAAGAGCUCGUAGGCGGUUUGUCGCGUCGUCUGUGAAAUUCUGCAGCUUAACUGUAGGCGUGCAGGCGAUACGGGCAGACUUGAGUACUACAGGGGAGACUGGAAUUCCUGGUGUAGCGGUGAAAUGCGCAGAUAUCAGGAGGAACACCGGUGGCGAAGGCGGGUCUCUGGGUAGUAACUGACGCUGAGGAGCGAAAGCGUGGGUAGCGAACAGGAUUAGAUACCCCAGUAGUCCCUGUCUCUUAUAC
rnacentral:rRNA from 1 species